GAAAAGAAACUAACAAGGAUUCCCCUAGUAACGGCGAGUGAAGAGGGAAGAGCCCAAGAUUGAAAGCUGGCGUCUUCGGCGUCCGCAUUGUAAUCUCAAGAAGUGUUUUCCGCUUCGGACCAUGCCUAAGUCCCUUGGAAAAGGGCAUCAUAGAGGGUGAUAAUCCCGUACAUGGCAUGGAGCGCCCGAAGCUUUGUGAUACGCUUUCUACGAGUCGAGUUGUUUGGGAAUGCAGCUCAAAAUGGGUGGUAAAUGCCAUCUAAGGCUAAAUAUUGGGGAGAGACCGAUAGCGAACAAGUACAGUGAUGGAAAGAUGAAAAGAACUUUGAAAAGAGAGUUAAACAGUACGUGAAAUUGCCAAAAGGGAAGGGUAGGAGGUCAGAGAUGCGUCUUGGGAUUCAGCCUUGCUUUUUCGCUUGGUGUUUUUCCCAAGUUGCAGGCCAACGUCGGUUUUGGGCACUGGAGAAGGGUGGGAGGAACGUGGCACCUCUCGGGGUGUGUUAUAGCCUCCUACUGGAUACAGCGACCGAGACCGAGGACAGCAGCGUACUCGCAAGAGCGGGCCUUCGGGCACCUUUACGCUUAGGGCGUUGGCAUAAUGGCCCUCUACCACCCGUCUUGAAACACGGACCAAGGAGUCUAACAUGUAUGCGAGUCUUUGGGUGGCAAACCCAUAGGCGCAAUGAAAGUGAAUUCAGGUGGGAUCCGCAAGGUGCACCAUCGACCGAUCCUCACGUCUUUUAAGUCGUGGAUUUGAGUAAGAGCAUACCUGUUGGGACCCGAAAGAUGGUGAACUAUGCCUGAAUAGGGUGAAGCCAGAGGAAACUCUGGUGGAGGCUCGUAGCGGUUCUGACGUGCAAAUCGAUCGUCAAAUUUGGGUAUAGGGGCGAAAGACUAAUCGAACCAUUUUUUAAUUGCUAGGUGGUUAAGAGGUGGCUAAAAGGGCCAACCUAGUGGGCGCUGAAGCUCGCGACACUGUCAAAAUGCGGGGACACCCUAAAGCUUUCAAUACCAAGCCGGCGUGGAAACACAGUCGGUGGCCGAGUUAACAGCCCUGGGUAUGGUAAAAACUUGAAAGAUGGAACAAUGGGCAAUCCGCAGCCAAGCUCUAAGGGUCGCAAGAUCUAUGGGUGCAGUUCACAGACUAGAUGGCAGUGGGUUUCGUUUUUUUUUUCUCAAAAACGAGGCUUAAGAUAUAGUCGGUCCUCUCUCGAAAGGGAGCCGGGGGAUGAAAGAUCGAGGUUCUUCAGCAACAGACCUCUUUCCGGAGCCUCUGGGAAUCAAAAAUGAAUUUCGAAUUUAUUUUUGAUUUUGGGUGCUACGCUAGUAGCUGGUUCCUGCCGAAGUUUCCCUCAGGAUAGCAGAAACUCACAUCAGUUUUAUGAGGUAAAGCGAAUGAUUAGAGGCCUUGGGGAAGUAACUUCCUUAACCUAUUCUCAAACUUUAAAUGUGUAAGAAGCCCUUGUUACUUUAGUGAACGAGGGCAUGCGAAUGAGAGUUUCUAGUGGGCCAUUUUUGGUAAGCAGAACUGGCGAUGCGGGAUGAACCGAACGUUGGGUUAAGGUGCCAAAGUAUACGCUCAUCAGAUACCAGAAAAGGUGUUAUUUAGUCUAGACAGUGGGACGGUGGCCAUGGAAGUCGGAAACCGCUAAGGAGUGUGUAACAACUCACCCACCGAAUUAAGUAGCCCUGAAAAUGGAUGGCGCUCAAGCGUAUCACCGAUACCCAACCGUCAGUGUUUAGCGAAGCGCUGACGAGUAGGCAGGCGUGGGGGUCCGUAUGGAAGCCUUGGCAGUGAUGCUG
rnacentral:rRNA from 1 species